rnacentral:tRNA from 1 species
GCGCCCGUAGCUCAGCUGGAUAGAGCGUUGCCCUCCGGAGGCAAAGGUCAUAGGUUCGAAUCCUAUCGGGUGCGCCA